rnacentral:rRNA from 1 species
GCCCAGACUCCUACGGGAGGCAGCAGUGAGGAAUAUUGGUCAAUGGGCGGAAGCCUGAACCAGCCAAGUCGCGUGAGGGAUUAAGGCCCUAUGGGUCGUAAACCUCUUUUGUCAGGGAGCAAUGGCGUCCACGUGUGGGCGUAUGGAGAGUACCUGAAGAAAAAGCAUCGGCUAACUCCGUGCCAGCAGCCGCGGUAAUACGGAGGAUGCGAGCGUUAUCCGGAUUUAUUGGGUUUAAAGGGUGCGUAGGCGGGACCUUAAGUCAGCGGUAAAAUUGCGGUGCUCAACGCCGUAGAGCCGUUGAAACUGGCUGUCUUGAGAUGUCGAGAGGUAUGCGGAAUGCGCAGUGUAGCGGUGAAAUGCUUAGAUAUUGCGCAGAACUCCGAUUGCGAAGGCAGCAUACCGGCGGCGAUCUGACGCUGAGGCACGAAAGCGUGGGUAUCGAACAGGAUUAGAUACCCGAGUA